rnacentral:lncRNA from 1 species
UUAUACGAACCGAAAUAAGUUGACAUUCUGAUAAAUUUCGGUAACCACUUAUCGAAAUCUGGGACAUUUCGGUUCGCAGGUACCGAAACCAUUAUUUCGGUAAAUUUCUACCGAAAAUGGCCUAAUUCCAGCGACCAACGUACCGAAAUUUAGGACAUUUCGGUUCGCAGAUACCGAACAAGCUGACGUUCGUUUUUUGUGUACCGAAAACGCUAAUGUUCGGUUUGCAGUUACCGAACUGGUCUAAUAUUUGGCUUCGGUGAAUGCGAACCGAAGUUUUUUGGCAAAAAUGUUUCAAACCGCAAGGGGCAAACUUGGAUUUUUG